ACACGUAGGGGCCUGACGUUGUUCGGAAUCAUUGGGCGUAAAGGGCGCGCAGGCGGCCGUCCAAGUCCGGUGUUAAAUGGUCGGGCUCAACCCGAUCAUGCGCUGGAAACUGGGCGGCUUGAGUCCCGUAGGGGAUGCCGGAAUUCCAGGUGUAGGGGUGAAAUCUGUAGAUAUCUGGAAGAACACCGAUGGCGAAGGCAGGCAUCUGGCCGGAGACUGACGCUGAGGCGCGAAGGCGCGGGGAGCGAACAGGUUUAGAUACCCGGGUAGUCCGCGCAGUAAACGAUGCGCACCAGGUGUCGGGCGGCAGCGCCCGGUACCGGAGCUAACGCGAUGAGUGCGCCGCCUGGGGAGUAUGCCCGCAAGGGUGAAACUCAAAUGAAUUGACGGGG
rnacentral:rRNA from 1 species